GGCAAUGACCCUGGAAACCAGUCCACUCCCAAAAGCCCCUGAGCUCCACCUCCUGUCAGACCUGCAGCAGCACUAGAUUACCAUAGAAGCCCCCAGGGACCGCCUAGUUGCAGGAUAACAAAUUCAGGGCUCCGUGAUUCUACAUUAUGGGCAGCAGGCAGCUGGGAGCUGGCUUCUCUCAGCAGAGGAAGACAGCACAAGAGGGUGUCGAAGAUGGAAGCCAACAAUGGCGUUUGGAACCUCUCUCAGAAGUCACAUCCUGGAUCACUAAGGCAAGUCAGUAAAGCCCAGUCCCCACACAGGAUGGGCAGCACACGAGGAAACAGAUACCAAGAGGUGUGGAUCUGUGGGGAUCGCUCCGAGACCACCCACUGCAGGUACAGGCACCAACACACCUGAGCAUGGGAAAGCAAGUGUGUGGAGCAUACUCAGCUCUGCCCACAUGAGGGCACAGGAACUGGCCUGGCAGAGCUGAACCACUUCGCAAAGACCUUUUCCUUCCUUCUUGAAAACACAGCAUUAUCGCUCUAAUCCCAACAGUCCUGAAGCAACAGCUUCUUAGCACAGGAGAGGCAUUGAAGUGAGGUGGGAUGAACAAUGCAAGAGGGGGAGCCGUGGGUCCUCCAACAGCCUGGGUUAUUGUCUGGAAACAUCAAUAUGUUGUACUCCUCAGGGGAGGUUAUGUAUAAACAAAC